AGCUAGAAAGGAAUCAGCAAGAGAGAAUGGUACGAGAUGUGGUCAUGGAGGUAGGCUAGGGCCAGACUACAGAUUUUAUAGGUCAUGACGGAGUUUGAUUUUUCUUCUAGAAGUAAUGGGAAUGUAUUGGGUGAGGUUUGAGAAGAGUAACAUAGCUUGAUUACCUUUUAAAACAAUUCCUAUGGCUGCUGUGCAGAGAAUGAACUUCGGCCAAGGAAGAGUGGAGGCAGGGGGAUUAUUGCAAGAGAUUAAAAGCUAUAGAGAUAAUUCAGGUGACACAUGGUGGUGGCUUGGAACAGGGCAGAAGUGGAGGAUGUGGGAGAUGUGGUUGGAUGCUGGGUUUACUUUGAAGGAAGAGCCAAGAGGAGUUGCUAAUAGACCACAUUUUCUUCUGCUCCUUUGGCCCUGGGAACUCCAUACACACACUCUAGUUGGCUCCUCUAUCCUCACUGGGGGUCUGGGUUACAGAGGCAGACCCCAGGGACCCAGCUAAAUUGCAAAGUUUCCAGGAUCAAACAAAGGAAUUUAAGACUCAGGCGUUGUGUUCUCCAUGAACUGUCUCCACUUUCCAUUAUUAGCCCAUUUAAUGGGAGGGGACUCUGCCUGUUGUCUCCCUUACUCGAUCUAGCCUGGCUUCUAUACCCCUAGUUACUCAUUAAGACAUUUGUUUAUCCAAAUAGGGGCCCUUAGGGUGUAUUGGUGACACCCAAAACAGUCCUGGGGGUGGUGGUGUUUGUAUCUGAUACAGAGUAGGGGGCAGGAUCAUCUGAUGGUCUCAGUCUUCAGACCCAGGCCAGUGACUUACUCAUGUUAAUUUACACAAAACACAGUGGGGUCAGACCUGAUCCCACAGAAAAUGCACACAACAUUUUUGCCCCAGGCUGGGCAUUUCUUUAGAGCCUGGGAAAGAUCAGGCUAGCCUUACAAACAUUCUCGGGCAGCAAAGGCUGGGGAAAGCAAGCAAGAAAGGGGAUUACCCAGUUGGCUCUGGAGCCAGCAGGCCCUGCUCUGUUUGUGUUGCGCUGCAUGGAGGGUGGGGGUGCAUUAUAAAUGCAGCCAGCCAGAGGGCCCCUGGCUCAAAACCUAGGACUCAAAACCUAGGACUGCACCAUCCCUGGGAGUCUGUGCAAGCCUCCCCAAGAUGAAGCUGCCAGGCCAGGAAGAGUUUGAAGUCUCCAGUGCUUGUGAAAAUGUGCCCACAGGAGAGCUGGAGAAUGGCCCUGGCUCUUGCCCCAGCCCUGACGGCACCUCAGACACAGACAGAGGGGAUCGGGGGGUACCCACGGACCCUCUGCUCUUCAUUCAGCUGAAUGAACUUCUGGGCUGGCCCCAGGCACUGGAGUGGAGAGAGACAGGCAGGUGGGUGCUGUUUGAGGAGAAGCUGGAGGUGGGUGCAGGCCGGUGGAGUGUCCCUCACGUGCCCACCCUGGCACUGCCCAGCCUUCAGAAGCUCCGCAGCCUACUGGCCGAGGGCCUUGUGCUCCUGGACUGUCCAGCUCAGAGCUUCCUGGAGCUCGUGGAACAGGUGACAAGAGUGGAGUCGCUGAGCCCAGAGCUGAGAGGGCAGCUGCAGGCCUUGCUGCUGCAGAGACCCCAGCAUCUCAUCCAGCCCACAGGCACCAGGCCCUGCCAGGGGUCUGCUCAUCCAAGAGAGGCUUCUCACAGUGAGGAAGCCCCGCUGAAGGAACAGCGUCAGAACCCUCUGAGACGGAAACUGCCUCCAGGGGCUGAGGCAGGGGCUGUGCUGGCCGGAGAGUUGGGCUUCCUGGUACGGCCCCUGGGGGCCUUUGUACGACUGCGGGAUCCAGUGGUGUUGGGGCCCCUCACUGAGGUGCCCCUUCCCAGCAGGUUUUUCUGCCUCCUCCUUGGUCCCUCCACACUGGGAAGGGGCUAUCAUGAGAUGGGCCGGGCCAUGGCCGUCCUCCUCAGUGACCGGCAAUUCCAGUGGUCAGUUCGUCGGGCCAGCAGCCUUCAGCACCUUCUGGCAGCCCUGGAUGCCUUCCUAGAGGAGGUGACAGUGCUUCCUCCAGGUCGGUGGGACCCGACAGCCCGGAUCGCCCCACCCAAAUGUCUGCCUUCCCAGCACAAAAGGCUCCUCUCACAACUGAGGGAGGUCAAGGGCCCAUCUGCCCAGCAUGGGGCCUUGGCUGAGGACAGACAUGGUCACUGGCCACAUGUGCCCAGCCCAGAGUUACAGCGGACAGGCAGGCUGUUUGGGGGCCUUGUCCAGGAUGUGCGUCGGAAGGCCUUGUGGUACACCAGUGACUUCCUGGACGCGCUGCAUCCCCAGUGCUUCUCGGCUGUGCUCUACAUCUACCUGGCCACCAUCACUAACGCCAUCACUUUUGGGGGUCUGCUGGGGGAAGCCACCGAUGGUGCUCAGGGGGUGCUGGAAAGUUUUCUGGGCACUGCAGUGGCUGGAGCUGCUUUCUGCCUGUUGGCUGGCCAGCCCCUCACCAUCCUCAGCAGCACGGGGCCAGUGCUGGUCUUUGAACGCCUGCUCUUCUCCUUCAGCAGAGAUUACAGCUUGGACUACCUGCCUUUCCGCCUAUGGGUGGGCAUCUGGGUGGCCACCUUUUGUCUGGCACUAGUGGCCACAGAGGCCAGCGUGCUGGUACGCUACUUUACCCGCUUCACCGAAGAAGGCUUCUGUGCCCUCAUCAGCCUCAUCUUCAUCUACGAUGCUGUGGGCAAAAUGCUGAGCUUGACCAGUGCCUAUCCCAUCCAGAGCCCUGGCUCUCCUGCCUACGGCUGCUUUUGCCAGUACCCAGACCUGGGAGGAAAUGAGUCUCAGUGGAAGGAGACAGAACCAAAAGACAGAGAUGACAUCUCAAGCAUGGACCUAGGCCUGGUCAAUGCCUCCUUGCUGCCCCCACCUGAGUGUGCCCGACGGGGAGGCCACCCUCGUGGUCCCGGCUGUCAUAUAGUCCCAGACAUCGCCUUCUUCUCUGUCCUCCUCUUCCUUACUUCUUUCCUCAUAGCCACGGCCCUCAAGCAUGUAAAGACAAGCCGCUUCUUCCCCUCUGUGGUGCGCAAAGUGCUCGGUGACUUCUCCUCAGUCCUGGCCAUGCUGCUGGGCUGUGGCCUCGAUUCCUUCCUGGGUCUAGCCACACCAAAGCUCAUGGUGCCCAGCGAGUUCAAGGCACUGGAAUGCUUUCAACCAGUUGUACAUGCACACGUACUGCUCCCACCUACCACCCAGGGUCUUGGAACUGGGCCCACACUCCCUGGGCGCGGAUGGCUGGUGUCACCUUUUGGAGCCAACCCCUGGUGGCUGAGUGUGGCAGCCGCCCUCCCUGCUCUGCUGCUGUCUAUCCUCAUCUUCAUGGACCAGCAGAUCACAGCAGUCAUCCUCAACCGUGCCGAAUAUAAACUGCGGAAGGGAGCUGGCUUCCACCUGGACCUCUUCUGUGUGGCUGUGCUGCUGCUGCUCACUUCGGUGCUUGGGCUGCCCUGGUAUGUCUCAGCCACAGUCAUCUCCCUGGCCCAUAUGGACAGUCUUCGGAGAGAGAGCACAGCUUGUGUCCUGGGGGAACCCCGCAGCUUCCUGGGCAUCAGGGAGCAGAGGCUGACAGGCCUGGUGGUGUUCAUCCUCACAGGAGCCUCCAUCUUCCUGGCACCUGUACUGAAGUUCAUCCCGAUGCCUGUGCUCUAUGGAAUCUUCCUGUACAUGGGAGUGGCAGCGAUUAGCAGCAUCCAGUUCACAAAGAGGGUACAGCUAUUAUUGAUGCCAGCAAAACACCAGCCAGACCUCCUCCUCUUGAGACAUGUGCCUCUGAGCAGGGUCCACCUCUUCACAGCUAUCCAGCUUGCCUGCCUGGGUCUGCUUUGGAUAAUCAAAUCUACUCCUGCAGCCAUCAUCUUCCCCCUCAUGUUGCUGGGCCUGGUGGGGGUCCGAAAGGCACUGGAGUGGGUCUUCUCACCACAGGAACUCCUUUGGCUGGACGAGCUGAUGCCAGAGAAGGAAAGGAACAUCCCUGAGAAGGGACUGGAGCCAGAGUACUCACUUAGUGGUGACACUGAAGAUUCAGAGCUGAUGUAUCAGCCAAGGGCUCCAGAAAUCAACAUCUCUGUGAAUUAGCUGGAGUAGGAGGAAUUUGGGAGUAGAGACUCCAGGAAACUGAGCAUGAGGUGUUUACUCAGGAAGUUAGGACAUUGUUGGUUUUUGGCUUAACAGCCAGAUGUUCAGUCGUCUGGGAACAAUGGGGCAGGACUGGAGGGCAGCUGGCCAAGACUUGUAUUGCCCUCUUGAGCAGGAGGUAGAGAGUGGCAGGGAACAAGCAGGUCUGCUGGUAAGCCCUGAUGACUGACUAGGCCCUAUU